rnacentral:miRNA from 1 species
AGUGAGGCGAGGGUAUGACUCUAC